GGUUAAGCGACUAAGCGUACACGGUGGAUGCCCUGGCAGUCAGAGGCGAUGAAGGACGUGCUAAUCUGCGAUAAGCGUCGGUAAGGUGAUAUGAACCGUUAUAACCGGCGAUUUCCGAAUGGGGAAACCCAGUGUGAUUCGUCACACUAUCAUUAACUGAAUCCAUAGGUUAAUGAGGCGAACCGGGGGAACUGAAACAUCUAAGUACCCCGAGGAAAAGAAAUCAACCGAGAUUCCCCCAGUAGCGGCGAGCGAACGGGGAGGAGCCCAGAGCCUGAAUCAGUGUGUGUGUUAGUGGAAGCGUCUGGAAAGGCGCGCGAUACAGGGUGACAGCCCCGUACACAAAAAUGCACAUACUGUGAGCUCGAUGAGUAGGGCGGGACACGUGGUAUCCUGUCUGAAUAUGGGGGGACCAUCCUCCAAGGCUAAAUACUCCUGACUGACCGAUAGUGAACCAGUACCGUGAGGGAAAGGCGAAAAGAACCCCGGCGAGGGGAGUGAAAAAGAACCUGAAACCGUGUACGUACAAGCAGUGGGAGCCUCUUUUAUGGGGUGACUGCGUACCUUUUGUAUAAUGGGUCAGCGACUUAUAUUCUGUAGCAAGGUUAACCGAAUAGGGGAGCCGAAGGGAAACCGAGUCUUAACUGGGCGUUAAGUUGCAGGGUAUAGACCCGAAACCCGGUGAUCUAGCCAUGGGCAGGUUGAAGGUUGGGUAACACUAACUGGAGGACCGAACCGACUAAUGUUGAAAAAUUAGCGGAUGACUUGUGGCUGGGGGUGAAAGGCCAAUCAAACCGGGAGAUAGCUGGUUCUCCCCGAAAGCUAUUUAGGUAGCGCCUCGUGAAUUCAUCUCCGGGGGUAGAGCACUGUUUCGGCAAGGGGGUCAUCCCGACUUACCAACCCGAUGCAAACUGCGAAUACCGGAGAAUGUUAUCACGGGAGACACACGGCGGGUGCUAACGUCCGUCGUGAAGAGGGAAACAACCCAGACCGCCAGCUAAGGUCCCAAAGUCAUGGUUAAGUGGGAAACGAUGUGGGAAGGCCCAGACAGCCAGGAUGUUGGCUUAGAAGCAGCCAUCAUUUAAAGAAAGCGUAAUAGCUCACUGGUCGAGUCGGCCUGCGCGGAAGAUGUAACGGGGCUAAACCAUGCACCGAAGCUGCGGCAGCGACACUGUGUGUUGUUGGGUAGGGGAGCGUUCUGUAAGCCUGUGAAGGUGUGCUGUGAGGCAUGCUGGAGGUAUCAGAAGUGCGAAUGCUGACAUAAGUAACGAUAAAGCGGGUGAAAAGCCCGCUCGCCGGAAGACCAAGGGUUCCUGUCCAACGUUAAUCGGGGCAGGGUGAGUCGACCCCUAAGGCGAGGCCGAAAGGCGUAGUCGAUGGGAAACAGGUUAAUAUUCCUGUACUUGGUGUUACUGCGAAGGGGGGACGGAGAAGGCUAUGUUGGCCGGGCGACGGUUGUCCCGGUUUAAGCGUGUAGGCUGGUUUUCCAGGCAAAUCCGGAAAAUCAAGGCUGAGGCGUGAUGACGAGGCACUACGGUGCUGAAGCAACAAAUGCCCUGCUUCCAGGAAAAGCCUCUAAGCAUCAGGUAACAUCAAAUCGUACCCCAAACCGACACAGGUGGUCAGGUAGAGAAUACCAAGGCGCUUGAGAGAACUCGGGUGAAGGAACUAGGCAAAAUGGUGCCGUAACUUCGGGAGAAGGCACGCUGAUAUGUAGGUGAAGUCCCUCGCGGAUGGAGCUGAAAUCAGUCGAAGAUACCAGCUGGCUGCAACUGUUUAUUAAAAACACAGCACUGUGCAAACACGAAAGUGGACGUAUACGGUGUGACGCCUGCCCGGUGCCGGAAGGUUAAUUGAUGGGGUCAGCGCAAGCGAAGCUCUUGAUCGAAGCCCCGGUAAACGGCGGCCGUAACUAUAACGGUCCUAAGGUAGCGAAAUUCCUUGUCGGGUAAGUUCCGACCUGCACGAAUGGCGUAAUGAUGGCCAGGCUGUCUCCACCCGAGACUCAGUGAAAUUGAACUCGCUGUGAAGAUGCAGUGUACCCGCGGCAAGACGGAAAGACCCCGUGAACCUUUACUAUAGCUUGACACUGAACAUUGAGCCUUGAUGUGUAGGAUAGGUGGGAGGCUUUGAAGUGUGGACGCCAGUCUGCAUGGAGCCGACCUUGAAAUACCACCCUUUAAUGUUUGAUGUUCUAACGUGGACCCGUGAUCCGGGUUGCGGACAGUGUCUGGUGGGUAGUUUGACUGGGGCGGUCUCCUCCUAAAGAGUAACGGAGGAGCACGAAGGUUGGCUAAUCCUGGUCGGACAUCAGGAGGUUAGUGCAAUGGCAUAAGCCAGCUUGACUGCGAGCGUGACGGCGCGAGCAGGUGCGAAAGCAGGUCAUAGUGAUCCGGUGGUUCUGAAUGGAAGGGCCAUCGCUCAACGGAUAAAAGGUACUCCGGGGAUAACAGGCUGAUACCGCCCAAGAGUUCAUAUCGACGGCGGUGUUUGGCACCUCGAUGUCGGCUCAUCACAUCCUGGGGCUGAAGUAGGUCCCAAGGGUAUGGCUGUUCGCCAUUUAAAGUGGUACGCGAGCUGGGUUUAGAACGUCGUGAGACAGUUCGGUCCCUAUCUGCCGUGGGCGCUGGAGAACUGAGGGGGGCUGCUCCUAGUACGAGAGGACCGGAGUGGACGCAUCACUGGUGUUCGGGUUGUCAUGCCAAUGGCACUGCCCGGUAGCUAAAUGCGGAAGAGAUAAGUGCUGAAAGCAUCUAAGCACGAAACUUGCCCCGAGAUGAGUUCUCCCUGACCCUUUAAGGGUCCUGAAGGAACGUUGAAGACGACGACGUUGAUAGGCCGGGUGUGUAAGCGCAGCGAUGCGUUGAGCUAACCGGUACUAAUGAACCGUGAGGCUUAACCUUAC
rnacentral:rRNA from 1 species